CUGUCGACUUGGUCGGACUGGGCCUGAUUUGAGGUCAGGUACGAUACGACGAAAUUACAGUAUAUACAGGUACAUACUUCGGCCCACAGGGAUGAAGUCGACGACGCGUAACGAAAACUGAGAAGGGGAGACUUCCUCUGCUGAGUGACAACGCUGCUUAGAUCGCGGUUCCGACCCGUCCAGUAGCAUGCGGGGGAAUGAUGGCUCUCGAAACGAAGACGUAGGAAGAGCGGUUAGGCCAUGGCAAUGGUGAGGCCGGACGCAAGCAUUAGAGUCAUUGUCGUGACGCGGCACGCCGAGUGCAGCCGCGGCAGGACUAGCAAUGGCAACAUCAGCUCAAGCCACAACACCGACGGCUUUACGGCCAUACGAAUCACUCCAACGUAGUGCAUACACAUUAAAUUGAGACACCGUUUUGUCUAAUUGACUUGUCACUCCGGCAGGUCGAUGCGGCCUCCACACAGUCACAUGACUGGGUAACGCUACGAAAGAAAACAAAUGGCGUCGCGUUAUCUAAUUCUGUAUCCAACAUGAGAUGAACGGAACCACUUCUACUGAGCUACUACAAUUAGAAUAGCUCGAUCGCCUCUGAUCUUCUACAAAAACCAAAAAGGCUAGCAAUUGAUUAAUCAUACCGAUUUUUCGAAAUUAUCCGGCACGCGAAUAAUGGCCCGUAAUUACAACAGCUAAACCCUUCAAC